UCAAAUACUGCUAUCCUGUCUCCCCUGGUCCUUCUCUUCACUAGACUAGCCAGGCCCAGUUCCUGCAACCGGUCAUUGUAUGUUUUAGCCUCCAGUCCCCUCAUCAUCCUGGUUGCUCUUCUCUGCACUUUUUCUAGAAUCUCAACAUCUUUUUUUAUAGUGUGGUGACCAAAACUGGAUGCAGACUCUAGGUGUGGUCUUACUAGGGCUUUAUAGAGUGGUAUUAGUACCUUGCUUGAUCCUUGAUUGUAUCCCUCUGUUAAUGCUGGCCUCUGUGGCUCAGACUGGUAAGACAGUCUGUUAUUAACACACAGCCGCCUGCAGUUACAAUUACUGCAGGCUCGAGUCCCACCAGGCCCAAGGUUGACUCAGCCUUCCAUCCUUUAUAAGGUAGGUAAAAUGAGGACCCAGAUUGUUGGGGGGCAAUAAGUUGACUUUGUAUAUAAUAUACAAAUGGAUGAAGACUAUUGCUUGACAUAGUGUAAGCCGCCCUGAGUCUUCGGAGAAGGGUGGGAUAUAAAUGCAAAAAUAAAAUAAAAUGCAAUUUAGGAUUGCAUUGGCUUUUUUGGCUGCCGCUGCACACUGCUGGCUCAUGUUUAGCUGGUUGUCCGCUAAGACUCCAAGAUCCCUCUCACAGUUACUUCUAUUAAGCCUGGUUUCACCCAGUCUGUAUGUGUCCUUUUAGGUUUUUCAUACCUAAGUGUAGGACUUUACUUUUCUCUACAUCGAAUUUCAUUUUGUUAGAUAGGACCCAGUGUUCAAGUCUGUCAAGAUCCAUCUGGAUCUUGAGCCUAUCAUCUAGGGUGUUGGCUAUUUCUGCCAGCUUAGUAUCAUCUGCAAAUUUGGUGAGUUCCCCUUCUAUUCCUUCAUCUAAGUCAUUUAUGAAGAUAAGUGAAGAGUAUUGGGCCUAGAACGGAACCUUGUGACACCCUACUGCUUAAUUCUCUCCAUGUAGACUUAAUGUAGACUUAGACCCAUUAAGGACUACUCGUUGAGUAUGGUUUGUCAGCCAGUUGCAAAUCCAUCUGGUGGUGAAGCUAUCUAUCCCACUUUUUUCCAGCUUACGAAGAAGUAGGUUGGGGUCUACUUUGUCGAAUGCCUUGCUGAAGUCUAUUAUGUCCACAGUGUUUCCCUAGUCUACCAAUGUAGUCACUAUGUUGGAUAAUGAAAUAAGAUUGGUUUGGCAUGAUCUGUUUUUAACAAACCCGUGCUGGCUGAUAAUUAUGGCUGAUAAUUGUCUGCAGAUGUUUUUUAAUUAUCUUUCCCAGUAUCUUCACGGGUAUUGACGUUAGGCCAAUAGGUCUGUAGUUUCCUGGGUCUGUUUUUUCGCCCCUUUUUUGAAGAUGGGAACCACAUCAGCUCUUUUCCAGUCCUCUGAUAGUUCCCCGGUGCUCCAGCAUUUUUGAAAGAUGUGGUGCGAUGGUUCUGAGAUCUCGUCUGCCAGCUCCUUUAGAACUCUGGAUGUAAUCCAUCAGGUCCUGGUGAUUUGUAUUCAUCAAGAUCAGACAGCCCAGGUGUGAAAGGCUCCCAGUUCAGCCCGGUUCGGUCGAUCCGGUAGUGAUGGCGGUGAGUGGUUCAGAGAACCGGUAGCAAAAAUCCCUGCCCCCCCCCCGCCCAUGCCCACCCAGUGCCCGGUUGUCUGCUUCCCUGCUUGCUGCUUCUUUUAAAAAAUGCUUUUAAAAGGUAAAAAAAAAAGGAGGGCUCUGACGAUCACAGCUGAGCCGCACAAUCAUCAGAGCCUUUUUAAAAACUUUUAAAAGCAUUUUUUUACAACCUAUUCAACCGAAUAGGUUGUAAAACACAUUUUUAAAAGGUUUUAAAAAAAGAGGCUCUGAUGAUCCCAGCUGAGCUGCGUGAUCGUCAAAGCCUUUUUUUAACUUUUAAAAGCAUUUUUUUUACAACCUAUAGGUUGUAAGAAAUGCUUUUAAAAGAAAAAAAAAGCCUCUGAUGAUCACACGGCUCAGCUGGGAUCGUCAGAGGAGCCUUUUAAAAGCAUUUUUUUAACAACCUCUUCGGCCGAAGAAGUUGCAAAAAAAUGCUUUUAAAAGUAAAAAAAAAAAGUUGGCCACGCCCACACAGUCACAUUACCCACCACCACCACCAAGCCACGCCCAAAGAACCGGUAGUAAUAAAUUUUACGUUUCACCACUGCCAGCUCAACGUCACUCAUGUCGGGGGGCGCCUGUGGGGUCCCGAGCUCUCUGCCAUUCAAAAUCAGCCUGACCUCAAUACCAGGGAAGAUUCUGGAAAAGAUAAUCAAGCAACAAAUCACCGAACACCUAGAAGCAAACAAAAUAAUAACCAAAAGCCAACUUGGGUUUGUCAAAAACAGAUCAUGCCAGACUAAUUUUAUUGCAUUCUUUGACAAAGUGACAAAAUUAGUGGACCAGAGGAAUGCUGUCAGUAUAAUUUACUUGGACUUCAGUAAAGCAUUUGAUAAAGUAGACCAUAAACUACUACUAGAUAAAGUAGAAAAAUGUGGGUUAGACAGCACCACCACCAGAUGGAUUCGUAAUUGGCUGACCAACCGCACUCAAUGUGGAGUCCUUAAUGGAACCGCAUCUACAUGGAGGGAAGUAUGCAGUGGAGUACCCCAAGGCUCUGUUUUAGGCCCAGUACUCUUCAACAUCUUCAUCAAUGACUUGGACAAGGGGAUAGAUGCGGAACUCAUCAAAUUUGCAGAUGACACCAAGCUGGCAGGAAUAGUCAACACUCCAGAAGAUAGGCUCAAGAUACAGAAGGAUCUUGACAGCCUUGAAUGUUGGGUGCUAUCUAACAAAAUGAAAUUCAACAGUGAAAAAAAAGUAAGGUUCUACAUUUAGGCAAAAACCCCAAAAUGCACAGGUACCGUAUAUGUGGUACCUUGCUCAAUAGUAGUAACUGUGAGAGGGAUCUUGGAGUCCUAGUGGACAACCAUUUAGAUAGGAGCCAGCAGGGUGCAGCAACCCAGCUGCAGAAGACAAGUAGAGUUUGCUAAGUUUGUGGCAGGUUUCUCAAUCCAUGUUGAUUUAAAUAUUCAGGAUAGCAAAUCGGAUUUGAUGCAGAUGGACAUCCAUGAGCUGGUGGUUUUCUCUGGCUUCUCUUCAGAACCAGAUUAUCAGGAAAUGUGAUUUGGCCUCCUCUUUCUCUCCCCACAUGCCCUGACUUGGCUUUAGACGAGGGUCACAAGAUGAUAAUUGAAUUUCAUCCUCUCUUCUCACUUGACUUUCUUGUGAAAGUUGAAUCAAGGAUCUUGCCCGUCACAUGAACAUCCUCACAAAUGGAUCCAGAGAAUAGAGAUCUGGGUCGCAUUUUCCCCACCCCCACCCUCCAAACGAUCUGGAGCUCCCGGUGGCUGCUAUGACAGAAGAUCUGUGAUCCACUCCAUCCAAUAAUGCAACCAGUUGUCCCCAGCCCCAUUCUCUUCCUCCGUUUUUAUAAAUUGUAAACUUUAUAAAUUUAGAAUAAACAGUUUUCCAGCUGUUACACAAUGUAUUCUCCUUUAGGCCUCCUCCUACGCUUGGUCUUUUUAUCCUUCCUUAAAAUUGGGAAGAUCCUUCAAACAUGUCCACAAUUAAAGUAUACAUUCUUAGAUAGAUUCUUGGAGUUGUUGAAACACAGAGAAUGAAGUUGGGAUUCCGUGUAUAACUGUGUAGCUAUUAAAACAGACACCAAUAGCAAUGACACUUAGACCAGGCGUCAGCAACCUGCGGCUCUGGAGCCACAUGUGGCUCUGGAGCCGCAUGUGGCUCUUUCGUCCCUCUGCUGUGGCUCCCUGUUGCUGGUCGGCCCCACAAUUGAUAGGGCUUUCGGUUAGGACAGGCAGAGGAAAAAGGACGCCAUGCUAGGAGGAAGCUCUAUGGUGGGGGAACCAGACUCCUGGUCAGCAGAGGAAAAAGGACGCCGUGUUACGAGGAGACCAUGAUGGGGGAACCGGACUUCCGGUCAGCUCCAGAAUUGAACAGGGGCUUCCGGUUAGGACCUUCGUGGCUCUUUGAGUGUUUAAGAUUUGUUGUUGUUGUUAGUUGCAAAGUCCUGUCCGACCCAUUGUCCAUCCAUGGACAAUGUUCCUCCAGGCCUUCCUGUCCUCUACCAUCCUCUGGAGUCCAUUUAAGCUCACGCCAACUGCAUUGGUGACUCCAUUCAGCCACCUCGUUCUCUGCCGUCCCCUUCUUCUUUUGCCCUCAAUCGUUCCCAGCAUUAGGCUCUUCUCCAGGGAGUCCUUUCUUCUCAUUAGGUGGCCGGAGUAUUUCAUUUUCAUCUUCAGGAUCUGGCCUUCUAAAGAGCAGUCAGGGUUGAUCUCCUCUAGGACUGACUUGUUUGUUCGCCUUGCAUGUUUAAGGUUGCCGACCCCUGAUUUAGACUUACUGUAUUUACAAUAUAUUUAAAGCUUUACAAUGCUUUACAGCCCCCUCUAAGCGGUUUACAGAGUCAGCCUCUUACCCUCAACAAUCCGGGUCCUCAUUUUACCCAUCCUGGAAGAAUGGAAAGCUGAGGCAACAUUGAGCCUGUUGGUCAGGAUCGAACUGCUGGCCGUGUGGGCCGAGUUAGCCUGCAAUACUGCAUUUUAACCACAGCAUAAUUCAUUGUCAUUAUAUUUCUAGUCUUCCUAUCCAGGGCUAGUCUACUGUUUCAUCUAUGCAACUAAAAGCUGAAAUUGCCCAGGUCUUAAUUGCCUUGAAGCAGGGGUGAAAUGUUACUGGAUCGGGCGGGAUCGGGCGAGAUCGGGCGAUCCGGUAGCGAUCGUGGCCAGUGGUUUGGCAAUCCAGUAGCACCCACCCGCCCAGGUGUCAUUACUUCUUGGUUUUAACUGGUUUUAACCAGGAAGUAAUGUGUUUUUUUAAAGGGACGCGGUGGCUCAGGGGCUAGGACGUUGAGCUUGUCGAUCAAAAGGUCGGCAGCUCGGCGGUUCGAAUCCCUAGUGCUGCCGUGUAACGGGGUGAGCUCCUGCUACUUGUCUCAGCUUCUGCCAACCUAGCACGUGAAAAUGCAAGUGGAAAAAAUAGGGAGCACCUUUGGUGGGAAGGGAACAGCGUUCCGUGUGCCUUUGGCGUUGAGUCACGCCGGCCACAUGACCAUGGAGACGUCUUCGGACAGCACUGGCUCUUCGGCUUUGAAACGGAGAUGAGCACCGCCCCCUAGAGUCGGGAACGACUAGCACGUAUGUGCGAGGGGAACCUUUACCUUUACCUUUAAUGUGUUUUUUAUCUUCUGCACAUGCGCAGAAAGUCUGCGUGAACAUAUGACACGUGUCCAAGCACAAGCGAAGCGAGUAUACACGCGGGGCGCAUGUACCUCCGAACCGGUAAGGAAGCAAGGAAAUGGUUGACCAAGAGUCAAGAUGCUGAUCUGAAUCCAAAAUCUGACCAACAAGGAUUGGGAAGCAAGGGAAUGGUUGACCAAGAAUCAAGAUGCUGUCCAUGAAUCCAAACUGCGACCAACAAGGAGUGUGAAGUUGACGCUGGAACGUAACUUAGUCC